UUUAAGCUACUCCCACAUAUACGCUUCUAUGGAGCUCAUUCAGAACUUACUCAGAUUUUCUACUAUCUUCUCAAAUCUCUUCAACUUGUAGGUUUUGAGUCUAUGACCAAAGUAGGAAGUGAAGGAAUCAAGAAGCAAAUGGAGGAUAUCCAGGAGAUAAACGAUGGGAGAGGAAGAUGACAAAUGAAGAUAGAAUGUUGUGUAUCUGGUCUAGCUCCAUAAAAGGGAACAAUACCCCGCUUUGUAGUAAGGAGCUUUACCCUACACAAGUUUUAGGUUUAAGUGGUUAGAGGACUCUCCAAGGACAAAGGACGAGUCAAAAUUGGAAGUGAUCUUUUUUCCUGUUGCUGCUCAAGAUGGUUGAUUGUUGCAAUCGACUACCCUAUGUCUGGCCACUGAUUGCUAGACUAUCUUUGUGCACUCAGUCGAUUUGCUAAUUUUCUUGAAUCCUAUUUCCUAUGGCUUCUUUUAUUAGUUUCUCAAAGAUCUGAAUUUUUAGGGUUAGAUAAUAAGGCAUGAAGGAAAAAGUGUAGGCAAGAAUCUUACCGCAGUAUAGAGAGACAACUUGGAGAUUUUCACCAGAAAAAGGUAAUAUAUCUCAUCUCUUGGUUUCACCCACGUUCUCUGUCUCUCCUUACUCUUUUUUUUUUGUUCUCAAGUGUUGCCCCCCUCUCUGUCUAAUCAAGACUGUGUGGUAGGCUUUUUGGGUUUCGGCUUAUGGAAUGCAUGCGUCUCUGUUGAUUAAUAGAUUAAACUUGGUCAGAAAAUUUCAGAUAUUCAAACUCUAAUUUCAAAAUUCGUUAUAGUUGUAUAAUCUUCAGAAAAUAGAUGUUGAAUUAUGUACUUAGAUUUGGUUGCGAUUUCUAAAUAUAGAUAAUUUCCUCAGUAUUACAUUUGAUUAUGGUAACUUUUAUUUAUUUCUUCUUGCAUAUGUUGGCUUGUGUUAUCUUCAUAGCCUUAAGUAAUAAGAGUUAAAAUUUACAGAACUUUCAACAAUAUGUUUUCCAAUAUUGAAAAAUCAUCAGAAUAGCUAUGUUAUUUUUAAAAUUUCAUGUCCAAUCAGGAUCACUAUCGAACAAUGAUAUUGACAAAUAAAACAACAACUUUAGGACAACAGAAAAAAUUAAGUAGUGGUUUAGAGAAGGAUUAUGCUUUAGAGAAGAAUUACUUAGAUCUUCUAUGUUCAGGAAGAGACAAUGGGACAAGUUCAAUCUGGUAUGAAUAAUUUUUUCUUUCAAUGAGUUAACUCCAAAGUCAUAUGGUAUAACAAUCUUUGUUACAACUAACAAUGUAGAUAUGUCCAGAACUUGAAGCAAACAUAAUUCUAUCGAACUAUCUUCCUACGCAAUUUCCUAAAGCAUAAGCAACUAAAGUUCAAGCUCAUCUGAGGCGAAUUAAGAAAAUAGUAUGGUCGUAGCCGUCUAAAGAAGUUUAUAUAUAUUAAGGUUUUGUUGACUUAUGUCUCCAUUUAUGUAUACACAUGCUUAUGAUGUGUCAUAACAGUAAGAUAGCAGAAAUUUUUUGCAAUUGAAUGAUCUCAUAGCUGCAUAAUAGAAUAAAUGAACAGAAUAUGAUGGUACCGUAGAUGUGUAUUUUUUGAUAACCUAGAAAUCACUGUGGGCCAACCUUUAGGACCAACUGUAGCCUGCAAAAUUCAGGGAAUUUAAACACUAGGCUAAGUUCGUCAAAAGUUCCUCAAUCAUUACCACUUGAACUAAGCUCUGGGGAUGGUAUAGGAGAUGUAUUAUCAGUGUGGUAUUAUUUUUGCAUCUUCACUUGCUUCACAUUAGGUUCAUACGACAUCGAGAGAGACUGGAAGGAAACAACAACUUUAACAUUCUUUUGUGACAUUUCUCAUAUCUAUACCUCUUGAUGCUGAGAUUCUACUUGAUCUUUAAUUUUUUCAGAUAUACUGAAAGUGUUCAAUCGCAAAGUGUUUAUCACUUUUUUUUAGGUAUUUGGAAAGAAUAUCAAUACCAACUUUAAGGCUAAAAGGUAAUUUUUCUCUCUGUCUUUAAAUGCGAGUCUUAACAAAAUAAAUCAAAUAAUUUACUUUAAUAGUAACAUCAUAUUAUAUUUUUCUUCUUUCUUUACAAUUUAUGACCAACUGAAAAUGGUCUUUUUUAUUUUUGGGCCAUAAAUAUGGAUUCUUCUUUUAUGUAUACUGUAGCUUUGGGAGUAAAUCUUUUAUGAAUUUUUUCAAGAUUAAGAGUGAAGUCCUAUUGGGAGGACUUAGGAGUGAUUUGCUCUUUGGAUUACUCUCAACCAUCUAUGAUCACUAUGGAUAUAGAAGUUUGAUACGAGCAGCUAUAUUGAUGAUCAAGGACAUGCCUUUCUGUAUAAGUGGUUGUAAGUCAAUUAAAAGAAUUGAAUAUAUGUGCUUUGAGGAGAUGGAACGGUUUAAUGAAUCUUAGCGCUUCACAGAAAUGAUUGUUAGGAUUUCUUCUAAUUCAGUUGUAGUACAUGCUUUAGUGGGAGAUCCAAUUAAUCAAAUGGUUCAAGAUACUAGAUUUGCACGCAAGUUUACUAAUUGCUUUUAAAGUGAGUUGAAAGUUGGUACUUAUCGUACUUGUUAUAAUCAUAUAGAAAAGGAGGUGUUUAAAUCAAGUUCAGUUGAGUUACUGAUAAAGUUAAAUCAUACGAAUAAUUAAGUCUUAAACUUGAAAGAUUGUUCUCAACCAUAAGUUAAAUUAAUAGAUUAGACAAGAUAGAAAGCUCACUAAUACUACUUUCGGAUGGUUCAUUGCUUAUUAUUACUACUUGCCGAAAUAUUUCGUUGAUAAUCUUAUUUCAUAUAGAAUAUAUGAGGAGAUAAGUCAAGUUUUGAAUAAGGUUGUUGAAAGUAUGAGCCUGUUGCAUCAUUUUUGCAAAAGAGCAGGUCAUAGAAAGGUCAUAGAAAUGUGGAGAAGAAAACUAAAUGCAGUAAUAAAGCAACAUUUUCUAUUAACAGUUAAGAUUUAAUUUGUCAUUUGCUUAUACUUUGUUUAUAUGCAAAAAGUUUCUAUGCAUGAGCUCAUCUUAUUCAGAAUUGCAAAAAGGAGCUCAUCUUAUACAUAUUUGCAAAAUAUUUUUUUCUACGUUUUCAUGCAUCUUUGAUAACGCUUCUUACAUUUUUUUUCUUUUUAUUUUUCAGUAUUUUAGUUAAAGCUUGUUAAGAGGCUAAUUUGUAGUAUCUGCAGCCUGGCAAGUUUUCUUUGCUCCGACAAUAACAGCUAAAUCCAAGUCCCAAUCAAGCUCAUUGGCACUAAGUAUAGCGAAGGGUGGCGUUGCAAAAAAUAUACUUAUAUGCUAUUCUAGGCAAGAAACACAAAAUAGUCCAAGUGAUGAUUUUGGUAUGACACAGGUCACUAUGAACUCUGAAGGGAGAAUUUGAGCUACGACACACAAGCUUUAGGAAAAAGUUAUAACAAAGAGAAUAUGCUAUAGUAUUUGGAGUAUUUUAUCUUUUAUUUUUCCCAAAUAUCUAUUGUCAAGAAACGACAAAAUAGUUUGAGGUUGUAAUUUGCAACUAGGAAAAACACAUGUAUAAGAAUUGAAAGAAAAUUUGGACAGUCAUACCAUUUGGUAGUAUUUUGUGGAACUUUUCCAUA